rnacentral:misc_RNA from 1 species
ACACCUCAACUCUUGUGGUUUUUCACAAUGAGUUUGGACUGUGGGGGUUUUUGUUGGCCCUGUGGUCAGCUCCUCUCAAAUGGAUCAGCUUACCGGUGUUUGGUGGGCAUCAUGGGUGUGAUAACUAUCUGCGCUCGUGGUCGUCCCCAAAUAACCUCCAGUGAUGGAGGUUCACUGGAGCUCAUAAACGUCUCUCCCCAGUGAAGACAGCAUUUGAAC